rnacentral:rRNA from 1 species
AGCGAAUGCUGGCGGCAGGCCUAACACAUGCAAGUCGAACGGACCCUUCGGGGUUAGUGGCGGACGGGUGAGUAACACGUGGGAACGUGCCUUUAGGUUCGGAAUAGCUCCUGGAAACGGGUGGUAAUGCCGAAUGUGCCCUUCGGGGAAGAUUUAUCGCCUUUAGAGCGGCCCGCGUCUGAUUAGCUAGUUGGUGGGGUAAUGGCCCACCAAGGCUACGAUCAGUAGCUGGUCUGAGAGGAUGACCAGCCACAUUGGGACUGAGACACGGCCCAAACUCCUACGGAGGCAGCAGUGGGGAAUCUUGCGCAAUGGGCGAAAGCCUGACGCAGCCAUGCCGCGUGUAUGAUGAAGGUCUUAGGAUUGU